GAUGAACGCUGGCGGCGUGCUUAACACAUGCAAGUCGAACGGAAAGGCCCAAGCUUGCUUGGGUACUCGAGUGGCGAACGGGUGAGUAACACGUGGGUGAUCUGCCCUGCACUUCGGGAUAAGCCUGGGAAACUGGGUCUAAUACCGGAUAGGACCACAUUUUGGAUGGUGUGGUGGAAAGUUUUUCGGUGUGGGAUGAGCUCGCGGCCUAUCAGCUUGUUGGUGGGGUAAUGGCCUACCAAGGCGUCGACGGGUAGCCGGCCUGAGAGGGUGUACGGCCACAUUGGGACUGAGAUACGGCCCAGACUCCUACGGGAGGCAGCAGUGGGGAAUAUUGCACAAUGGGCGCAAGCCUGAUGCAGCGACGCCGCGUGGGGGAUGACGGCCUUCGGGUUGUAAACUCCUUUCGCUAGGGACGAAGCGCAUGUGACGGUACCUGGAGAAGAAGCACCGGCUAACUACGUG
rnacentral:rRNA from 1 species